GGGAACUGUCCUCUGUUGAGACUUCUGGGUAAUGAAGUAUUUCUGUGUUGUUGUACACUCAUGCAGCCUGUUAGCUUUUUGAUGUUUGGAACUCUAAACAGCGGCGUAGUAGAUGGCUAAUGAUGCCAAAUGAUGAAUGGAAAGACAGUGAUAUUGACCGGUGCCAACAGCGGGAUAGGAAAAGCCACAGCAGCAGGCAUUGUGAAGCUCCAGGGCCGUGUGAUAAUGGCCUGCCGGAACCUGAGCAGGGCUGAGGAGGCUGCACGGGAGAUCCGAGAUGAGACUGGUGCGGACAGCACACAGCUAGUCCUCAAACAGCUGGACCUCGCCUCGCUGACAUCUAUACAAACUUUCUGUCAAGACAUAAUAAAGGAGGAGCCUCGGUUAGAUGUGCUUAUCAACAACGCUGGUGUCUACCAAUGUCCUUACACCAAAACAGAGGACGGCUUUGAGAUACAGUUUGGGGUCAACCAUCUGGGCCAUUUCCUGCUCACCCACCUGCUGCUGGAUCUCCUGAAACGAUCAGCUCCCAGCCGCAUAGUGGUGGUCUCCUCCAAACUCUAUAAGCACGGUCACAUUAACUUUGAGGACCUGAACAGCGAGCAUAGCUACGACAAGGCCUUUGCCUACAGUCGAAGCAAACUAGCCAACCUGUUGUUCACCUGUGAGCUGGCUCGUCGACUCGAGGGCAGCGGAGUUGUGGUGAAUGCUCUGACUCCAGGCAUAGUGAGGACUAAUAUUGGGAGGUGUAUUCGUGUCCCAGUGUUAGCUAAACCCAUGUUUAACCUGCUCUCAUGGGGCUUGUUUAAGAGCCCUAAAGAAGGAGCUCGGACUUCAGUCUAUUUGGCUUGCAGCCCAGAUGUAGAGGGUGUGCAGGGAAAGUGCUUUGCAGAUUGUCAGCCUCAGGUUCUGCUGGACAAGGCAACAGACCAGGAGGUAGCCAGUAAACUGUGGGACAUUAGUGAAGUCAUGGUGGGCAUAACCACAUGAAAUCUAAAAUGAAUUCAAGCAAGCUAAUCCGCAAACAGGAUGGGUGCAGGUCAAAGCAGGGAGUUAACUGACACAUCUGGGAACUCCUCAUCUUCACUUGUAUGAUCAACAGUUUUGCAUCUGCUUUCAGUCAUCUUUAUUUUUUCAAAUUCUUUCAGUGGUGAUGGACAGAGUGCUAUCUUCAGUAUGUCUCUACUGUCUCUGAUUUAGGUAAGGGCCGAGUGUUAUAUAACUGUUCUUUUUUUUUGAUUAUUUGACUUGAUGAAUAUAAAUGUUUUUCUACAAUUAAUUUAAAGGCCCCUAAAACACAUGUUCUAAAUGAGUUUACUUCCUAUGAGUGAUGAGAUCCUACAUGACCACAAUACUCCUACCAAAGUUUGAACAGUUCUUGUGAAUAGAAAUUUGAGAUUCAUGUAUUUCUUUUAUUCUAUGUGCUUUUCCCUCUGGUUUUGAAGUGGGCGGGGCUUAGUUGGAUAAUGUGAUGUCGCAUGUUUCUGUGCACCUAAUACGAUUUAUUAACAUAUGAAUCAAAAUGAGUUUUCUUUUAGCUUAGUGGUCCCGACCGAUCGUAUGAGUCAUGAACAGAUGGCCUGCUUUUCUUCAAAGGGGGAAGCUCACUUGUUUGAUUUGAGAAUUAUAGUGUUUUAAUCCGAAUUAAUUUGGAGUUAUAUAUGUAUAAACAUGUAAAACAUUUAAAUAUAUACCAAAAUUCGAAAAAUCUAUGACAAACUUAAUGCAAAAUAAAUAAAUAAUAAUAAAUGGGUUAUUUGUGAUAUAAAGAAGUGUUGUAUCACAGUCUGAAUCUUAUUGAUGUAAACAACACAUGCUUUAACACAAGGGAUAAGUGUUAGGAUUAUUUGCUGCUGAGAACAGAGCUUUUAAGUGUGUGGAGCUGCUGGUUCCAAAUGUAUUACUCCUAAAUUCCUUUCAAGUUUUCUUUUAAUCUCUUCAAUGUUGAACAACAUAAAAACACUGGAGUCUCCUGGAUAAUGUAAUCAGACAGUAGAUUUACGUUCUGACCAUCAGUUCAAAUUACUUUAACUCUGUUUCUUUCAGUUUGCUUUGGUGAAUGCAAAUACCUCAAUACCCAUGAGCCUCAGCUGCCAUUGCUAUGGAGAGGAAAUCACCUUUCACAACAACACCUACGGAACUGGCUGUUUGCCUGAUCCACGGGGGUAUGUCACCUAACUUUUUCUCAAAAAAAAUUUUCAGCAAAGUCUUUGGUCUACCAUCUGGCCCAGCGACCAUUGAGAAAGUGGUAGACCAUGGCCUAAGGACUAAACUAGAGAAGGCAAGUUUAAAAAUAAUUACACAUCUCUACCAUAUUCUUACUGUUUGUUUUGAAAUACUAGGAGUGUCAGGAAGUUUUGGCAUGGAGGAUCAAAGUCCUUGAUUUGUGAAAUAGUGGUUCAAUUAAGUACAUUUAGCUGGACUUUAUAAAACAUGAUCCUGUUUGCAAACUACCAGGGAGCUAUCUAACAUUGUUCUUGCUUCCUUACAGACUUUACUCUUACCAUACCAGAGAGAACCUUUUAGGCAACACAGUGAGCACACAUAUAAGCAGUGCAGGGAUGCUUCAUGCUGCCAGACAGGCUGUUAAUGAAACUGCUGAAGAGCUGGCUCUGAUGAGAGGUCCGGUGCUUGGCGCACGGGAAAGAGCUGAUGGAAGCUGUGCUCGAGUUUUACUGUGAGGGGCAAAUACAGGCAGCCCUCCACCAAUUCAAAGGACUGGGUACUCUUGGUGUCCUGGAGGAGGUCACCUCACACCCUCAAGCUUUGAGAAAAUCUUCAUCCCUGAAGGCCAGUGAUAUCAUGGGGCUUCUCCAUGCCAGAUGUAGAUCAUUGCCGGCAUCAAAUCGGAGGUGGCUGGAAGCCAGGGCCAUUACCUUUAGGAAGGAUUGGCUCUUGGAGGUUGAAGGUAGACUUGCCCAUCCAAUCACUCUUCAGCAUGUCCUCAUCUUUGCCACAAUCCUGCAGCGAAUCCCAGCAGUGUGUUGUUUACUGCAGCCAGAGCUACAUUUUUCCACCCAGAAGAUUGACUGGCCAGGUUCCCAAAGGCGAAUACACGAACGUGACGUCAAAAAUAACAUGUAGCUUGGAGUAGUCUCUUCUCAUCAGCUUGGGGGGGCUAAAUAUUAGAUGGAUUUUCUAAUGGUUUUGAUAUUCUAAAUGCUGUUUUUAUUUUUUGACAUAAUAACACCUUUGAUGACAAGCAAUUGUAUUUGGUCUGUCCAUUGUUAUUGCAUUGGAAGACUGAUUUUCAGAAGGAAAAACAAUGCUUGGGCUGGAGUUGUUAGCAAAGAUUGGUGGAUAUUUGAUGCCCUCUGAUCCAAACUAUCAUAGUUUUCAUCAUUGUGGUACUGUCGUCAUACUGUCAUGAAUGAUUAUCUGUAAGUUUUCAGUAGGCUGUUAAAGUACAUUGAACAAUGUUUUUCUUAUUUAUAUGUUUUAAAAAAUGUGUUUUUUCCUAUGCUAUUUCUGUCAAACACAUGACUUAUGUUUGAUCCCAGUCGGUUGAUGUAUACUAUAAUUACAAAGGUUAUGGUAUAGUAAAACAAAUGUUAUCGUUAAGGGAACUAAUCAGAGUGGGUUUACAUCAGAAUUAUCAUAGACUAUUCCUGGCUUACUAGGGGACACUUUUCUGUUGGUUUUUUGUGUCAUUAAACUGAGUUCAUAGAUCCUUGUUUUUAUAAGGCCCUUUGAACAGAUUUUUUGUCUGCAGGCCUGAAAAACAUUUUAUUACAGUAAUGGAUUGGUGCUACAAGGGGCAUUGUCUGUACAUGUUGCUGUACAAGUCUACCACCGGGCAGAACAGGUAUUCGGGAUCAAUGCUGUGCUUUGGCUCUAGGUGUUCUCCGAGCCCACUGCUACUGCUGGAAAUCCAUCACUUACACUGUAUAGCAAGGGCAAAAACACAUGAGGAAAGUAAAGGAGAGAAUUGGAUUGUUGAUACCAAAAACUUGGUAAAGUAAGGUUAAGCUCCAGACAAGAUGUGAUGUGUAAAAAGGAUAAGAAGAAGGAAUAAGAAAGUUACAGUAUAAGAAGGGCAAUAG